GGGCUUGUACUGGUUUCGACAGGGAUCUCGAAGAUGGAGAAGCUAUCCGUAGGCUGAUGCGUUAAAUCGCAAACUUAAAAUUAAACGCUAACGAUAAUUUCGAAUUAGCUGCAGCCUAAAUGCUGCAUGUCAGCCCUGAAGCACUCACACUUUAGGAAUCUGGCACCGACUAUGUGAGAAACGAUGACGGCAAAGCUUUGAGCUGUCAGGCGUAUUAUGAAGCUACUGAACCCGUAAGGAUGUUAGUUUUCGUACGGCAGAGGGAAUGUCAAAUAACUGACUAUGAUAGUAGAAGUACAUGGGACAGGUUUUUGGACGCGGGUUCGAUUCCCGCCAGGUCCAC
rnacentral:tmRNA from 1 species